AAUUUGCAAAACCAAAAAAAAAAAGCCUUAACAAAAAAAUAAUAAU
rnacentral:sRNA from 1 species